GGAAGUCCAUGUGCUUGUUUCAUCAAGGACCACUCUUCAAUGUCAAUCGUCCACCAUGUAGCCACUACCUAUGAAACUGCUUUCUCCAUCUUUAUGUCCCUUAACAUUCAGCAUUUCAGAUAAUCUGCGUUCCAAUCUCUUCAUUAGAGAAGACGAAACUCCAGAGAAACGGAAAGAAAAUUGUAGAACAUGAACAUGAACAUGAUGAACAUGCGAAGGAACCAUACAGUAUUAAAGCCAUAAUUUAUAUAAUCUGCCAGGUUACCACCACCUUCCAAAUGGCACGGAGACUACUUACAGAUUCCACCAACACACACAAACCAACCUACAGCUAAUCCUUGUGGAUGCAAUCAGUGUUACAGUCAGCAGUAAUUUAAUACUACAGGUAACCUAAGUAAAUAAAAAAACAAAUUUCAUGAAUCACCACCGGCAUCAGCAACUGGAUGAUCAUUGUGUACUUGGCGUACAAACUGCCCUUUGACCCGAGGCCGCUGCUCUGCCAGUCUUUUCCGGCUUUGAUAUCGAACCUUUACAACAAAUUAAGAGUUCUUAUUAAUAGGAUAAUCAGCAGAAGAUGGUACAGGAGUUUCCAACCUAAUUCUAAUCAUAGAUUUACCUUUACCGUAAAUACUUUUAAGGUGAAGUAGCAUUCUACUAACAGUAUCAGUGCUGGUUGAAAUACCUUUUUUUCGAAGCAUCGCUCUUUCCGCUUCAGUCGAAACUUGGUUAGAGCUGCUUCUCUUUGACUAGUGCGAUGAGAUUCUGUGCCUCGAGACCCGUCAUAAUUAUGACAAACACUAUCACUGAAAACUUCUGGGUUGUUCUUGGAUACUAUAGCUGAAGUAGCAUGCCCAUCAUUUCCACUGUCCAUGCUUCCAUACGCACUACUAUUGACGUGAUAUGAAGCAUCAUGGCAUAAACUAUAACCAGCACUCUGAUCAGCAGCAGGAGAAUCACGCCUUUCCUGAUCCAAAUCAGCGUCUUCCUUUACAUUUUGAUUAAGACAAGUAGCAUCAUUGGAACAUUCAUGAUAUUGGUCAGAGUUGUGACUUUCAGGAUUGGACUGGGAGGAGGUACUUGUGGGAAAGGGAGAACUCUCGUUCUGGCAGACUGGUUUCGGACUCCACACAGGGUGAGGACCAGAUGGUGCGUAGAACACUGAAGUGAAAGCAUUACCAUGUCCCUUGGACUUAAGAUCGGAAAUAACCCCUGAAACAGGUUUUUAUUUGAGCCAUCAUACUGACAACAAUUUCCAGAAGUAGUUCGAGACAAUUUAUGCGAUUCAUGAGAAUCCCAACUGGGGUUGUUUACUUCUGCGGAUGUAAUUGAUGGUGUUCGAAAAAGAGGGUGCACCAAUUUACUAUUACUAUACCUGCAUAUAGAAAUUGUCACCCACCGUCAGAAAAUGUGUAAUCGCAAAGAAUUAUUGCAAGUUGAUUUUCUGAAAGGAUCACUAGGAAAAAUAAUUUAGAAUGAAAGAUUCGAUAUUGAUUUCA